AGGGUUUUAACUCAGUGGCAGAGAAUCUGCUUUGCAUGCUGAAGCUCCUGCGUUCAACCCCUGGCAUCUCUG